rnacentral:rRNA from 1 species
AGCGAACGCUGGCGGCAGGCCUAACACAUGCAAGUCGAACGAAGUCUUCGGACUUAGUGGCGGACGGGUGAGUAACACGUGGGAACGUACCUUUUGGUUCGGAACAACUCAGGGAAACUUGAGCUAAUACCGGAUGAGCCGUUAGGGGGAAAGAUUUAUCGCCGAAGGAGCUGCCAGCGUUAGAUGAGCUAGGUGGUGAGGUAAAGGCUCACCAAGGCUACGAUCUAUAGCUGGUCUGAGAGGAUGGUCAGCCACACUGGGGCUGAGACACGGCCCAGACUCCUACGGGAGGCAGCAGUGGGGAAUCUUGCGCAAUGGGCGAAAGCCUGACGCAGCCAUGCCGCGUGAAUGAUGAAGGUCUUAGGAUUGUAAAAUUCUUUUACCAGGGACGAUAAUGACGGUACCUGGAGAAAAAGCCCCGGCUAACUUCGUGCCAGCCGCCGCAGUAAGAC